ensembl:rRNA 5S_rRNA 5S ribosomal RNA
UACAGCAGCCUUAUCACCCUGCAACUCACAACUGGUAACCCACUGAAGCUAAGCAGGUGUGAGCCUGGUCAGUACUUAGAUGGGAGACCUCAUGGGAAAAACUAAGGUUGCUGCUGGAA